AUGGCUGAGUUUGUUUAAGGCGCCAGAUUAAGGUUCUGGUCCGAAAGGGCUUGGGUUCAAAUCCCACU
rnacentral:tRNA from 1 species